rnacentral:lncRNA from 1 species
UAGAAUGAAUGCAUGAUCUUUCCUAGAAGCUUGCAUUCCCCGUUUUUGGUGAGGCAUAAGGGAAGAAGCCUUGUUUCUUCUCUGGUGUGUGUGUGUGUAUAUAUAUAUAUAUCAGUGACAGCCUGUUUCAACCAAGAACCCUCCCUCCUUCCCUUUCUCUUUCACUCUACUCAAAAGAAUUCUAGUGUAGGUGUUCCUUUGCAGGCACUACUUAAUUCCCCAGAGCCGCUUAAGUUUGCUUCCCAACCGGCAGCCUCCAGAAAUGGGAGGAGAAUUUUUGCUUAAGAUCUGGGUCAACGCUCUCAAGGACUUUCAUUACGAUAUGGAGGAUUUGCUUGAUGAGUACUCCAUCGAAACUCGACAGUGUAAAUGGAGCACAGAAUGUCAAGAAAGCACUGCCGAGGUACGGAAACUUGUUUCUUGCUGUUAUAUUGAACUCGAUCCAAGCCUUGUUAGGGUAAUUAAACCAGUUUCACUGUGAACGAGUUUUGGCUAAUGAUGUGUAUGAAUUGGAUUUGCUUCAAGAGAGAGUAGAAGAAAUUGUUAGAAUGAAAUCUUUCAUAGUCCUAGGUGAUAUUUGUAAUGAGAACUAUAAGAAUUGAAUUCGCUUCCAUGGUCGUGGUUCCUUCGAAGUAAGUUAUUUGGGAAGUAAAACCACUGUCAUGACCCUAAGAUGUGUGUCCAUGAUUGAAAGUUCUGGGUUACCAUUCGAAAGAAAUGGGUAACAUCAAUCUUUGGGGAGAAGAAAAUUUGAUGAUCAGCUGUUUAUGAAAGUGAUUUGCAAAGAAAUAGUGAAAGGGUACGAGUGUUUACCAAUUGGUUACAAUGCCUCUGACCGGUUUUGCAGCCAAUGGCAAACACCAUCUUUCCACCAUAUUUUCCUUGACAAAAUGCCAACUGCAUACUUUCAUAUUCGGAUGCUCAUCAAAAUUUCUUCUCCCUGAGAUAAGAUGUCAUUAAUUUCUUUCGAUUAUGAUGUAAUUAUAUGACAGUAAUUUUACUUCCUGAACAGCCUAGUACUUCAGAAGAAAUACUGCAAAGAGCCAUUGGAUUCUCAUAGAUAGUUUUCAUUCCAAAUAUCAUCUAGAACUAUGAAAAUUUCCUUUCAAUCUCACUUGUAAUGAAUUCAGCUUAUUGGCAUUACAAGGCUUGGAACUCACCCAUGGUAACAGUACUGUUUUCAUGUCCCUAACAACAUCAACUUCUUCAGAAACAAAAAUCAAGCUUUCAAUUCAAAGAAAUGCUUAACUGUUAACAUUAUUGUUGUAUAUUUAGCAAGGGUUGUCUUCCCCACUCCUACCAUAUUAUCUUGAUAUCGUCGGAUACUUGAUGAUGACUCGAGGACUACUGGCUUCAUCUCUGAACUUCUGGCUUUCAAUUCAAGGGUUUUUUGCUCCUGAGAUGUAUCUCUAAACAAUGGCUUCAUCUGUACUUGUCUUUGAUUCAAUAAAAUUCUUUUUUGCUCUCUUUUUUUUCCGUCCAUUGUGAAAUGGGGAUUUGCAUCCUAUUGUUGUUAAGCACGCAGAUGCAUGCACUUAUCAUCAUAUCAAAUGCGUAGAUGUUAUAUUUGCUGUUAAAUUAAACAAAAACAGUAAAAGUAGGGAUUGUCAUGAAACAUUACAAGGAAACUUGAGAUGACAACAUUUAAUUUCUCCGGGACAAUGCAUCAAUCAAAAUGAUGUUGUGAUUGAAAUUAGCUGUACAAUUUAACAAACAGCCCUUUAAGCUAUGUCUAGAGCAUUCCUCUAACACAAGAACAAAGGUUUCAUAUCUCCCAGAUGGUUCAAAAAACAGUAGAAAGAACCAAGACUUUUGCACAUUUAUAAAGAAUUAUGGGAUUAAUCCCUCUGAUCACAAAUUAGCCAAAUUUGGAUAAACAAAAGAAUAAUGCUUUAACUGGCCUGGUAUCAGGUAGGUUACUGCUCAGGCAUAAGCACAUGUCAAACUGCUGUUGCAUAUCCAGCUUCCGAAUGUAUUUAAAUUUUGUCGUCCUGUUACUGUUUCAGGCACAUAGCUGUAGAACGUUUUUUCUCUUUCUCCUUGAACUUGUAUACAUUUACACAUAGGCAUUGGAGUGUACUAACAUGUGUCUGGUUUAUAGAACAGAAGAGACCCAGAUCAAGAAACUGGUUUGCCAAAAGAUUUUAAACGAGAAAGAUAAUUAUGACGAAGAACUGAUCAAGAAAAUGUGUUCAAUUCAAUGCUUGAUUUCUUCUUUCGUCUGUCCUACUGCCCUUGGAAUUUGUAAACGUUUGUGCCCACUUUCCAUUUUGAAUGGUUUUAGCUCGUGAUUUUGUUUAAAGCAGGCUACAAUAUGCUGUGUCAGGAUCGACACAACUUGUAAAGUAUCGCUUUGAUUCAUUGAAUCUCAUGAUUUUGCUAUACUUCACAAGAUGAAAAUAAUGUGAACACUUAAAUAUAUGAUCAUACUCUCAUAUGUAGUCGAUACGAAUGCAUCCCUCUGAAACCGUGACAUCCUGCAAUGCCAGGUUUAAGGCAAAUUUUAUGUCGGUUCUGCAAGCUGCUCACUCACUACAGCAGGAAAACUAUUGAAGCCUGAGCAUGAUACACAAUGAGUGUGCAACUAGCUGUAACUGUCGUUUUAGGAAUACAAGUAUCGACGAAAAAGAGAUGACGAUUUCUAAUUGUCGGGGAAAAGAAGCCAGGGAGGGCGAUCCGAUCAAGCAGUGUCGCUGAUCAGUAACGCUGAUAGAGGUGUAAACUGCACUGGGCUUAGUAAAAACCCGUACAAGUAAAAACCCGUACGCUUACUUAAACGCUGCGUUUUGACAUUGUCGUUAUUAUCUCGCAGUUUUUCUUUUUCUUCUUUUUAACACAAUCCCUCUCUUUUCUCUCUGCCUCACCGUUUACCGCCUUAGCGAGGGAAAAACAUGGGACCCAGCCCGUCGGCCGGUUCGUCGGCGAUGAGGAAGAGAAGCGGCGUGAGCGGUGGAACAAGAAUGGAGAGGCUGGACCACGAUAUCCUGUGUAUCAUCUUCUCCUUCCUGAACGUCUUCGACCUCGCUCGCUGCACCGCCGUCUGCAAAUCCUGGUACUCUUUCUCAAAUUUUCUUUUUUCUCCAGGAAUUAUUUUUUAUUUUUUUAUUUUUUUUAUAAUUAGGGAGUGCAGUUGUUAAAAAAUCCGAGUUAUUGCAAGCGUUGUAUUUCAAGCUGCGGCGAGAUUCCAUGGGCAAUAUUUCUACUGAGUCUAAUUCUUCACGGCAGUCAUGGCAAUUAGGCCUAGAAGAAGCAGCCAUGAAGUAUCAUAGCUUAUCUUUACGACGAGGUCGUAUCGAUAUUCAUCAAUGGAAAGCUCAUUUUGUCCGGUAAAGCUUUGGUGCUCUUCUUGUUGAAAUGCAGGGCGUUUGAAACUCCAAUUUACUCAUACAUUUUCGAUUUUUGUUACAAAAGAUGCUGGAAACCAAGGCCUCAGACAUUUCUAACCUUGUUUUUUGUUAGGGUUGAUCAGUGCCGGAUGAAGAUGGGCUUACUUCUCACUGGUGUUGGUGACAAGGUAUGGUUAUGCCGCAUAAACCUGUUAUGGCAAUUUUAGGUCUUCCUUUCAAUUUAAUCAUGCCUGCUUCCCCGGUUUAUGCAUCAAAAGAGAAGGCAUUGGUCACAGCAGUUUCAUAUGUUUGCAUGUAUAAGCCAAUCUUAUGGUAUUCGUUUCAGUCAUAUUUGAAAACAACCAGGAACAAAUUGUUCCCCAUGCUUGUCAUUAGGCAAAUACACAUUGAGGGUUGUAGUCUGUAUGAUAUUUAUAGUUAGAAUAUGGUUGUAUUGGACAUAUAGGAAGAGUAUGGUUCUCAAAAUGGCAAAUUUUUUUUUACUUUCGUUCCUACUUGGUGAACCUGGUUUGAGAGAUUUGUUUAAACGCAUUCCAAUUCUUUACCAUUUGCUUGAGGUCAAUAAAUGUCAAUUGCAUGUCCAAAUUAUUCAUGAAUCGGUAUCUGAAGUACAAAGAUAAUAUUGAUGGCUUUAUUUUUGUACUAAACUUAUCCUUCUUUUAUCUGGAAGGGUUUUUCUUUGCCCCUUCAAUCUACUAAUGUUUUUCAUGGAAACUAUACCAGGUUAUGCGUCUUUGGUCAUUGAGCAGCUACAAUUGUGAGGGAGAAUAUUACAUCCCUGAUAGUGCCCCUGUAGUUGACUUUGAUUUCGACAAGACCAAGGUGAUUUCAUCCUCCUCUUGUCAUUAGCUGGUUAAUCACUCCCCCACUUUCUUAUUCUCCUCCUUCUCUCUUCCCUGACCUCUAUUUUUUCCCCAACCAUGUCUACCAGAUUAGUUCACAAGUGGCCUUAAACAUAAAAUGCUCUUAUUAAGAAUGUAAUCAUUGUGUUUAUGUGGAAAUUUUUCAGAUGAUUUGAUCAAAUGAGUUCUUCUGAAUAAUUGCUGUUCUUUUUCUUCCAGAUUGUUGGUUUGCUUGGUACAUAUGUAGGCAUAUGAAGACGCAAUGGGAAAAGAAGUAUAUUUCCCUCACGUGAAGGCACAUUCUCAAAAGGUUUAUGCAUGCCGUAGGAAUGUUGAUUGACAGAAUUGUCUGGCGAGAAUAUUCAUGUCUGCAAUGGUGGUAAAUUUAUCUAGAAAAGAAAACAAUUUCAAACUUUGCUCCUAAACCACAUUAAUUAGUUCGGUAUCAAGGAAUGUCAAUCAGUUAUCGGCUUUGCUAAAUAUUAUAUUCUGGAGUUAUCCUAGGUAGUAGUAUAUUCUUCUAAUUAAAGAGAAGUGUGAGUUGCCUAUUAUAUAUGACAUGACAUUGUAAAAUUUUUUUGGUUAAUGGGAAAUGUCAUGCUCUUUUUUUCUAAAGGACUUUCAUUUGUUAAAUGCAACUAAACAGCUUUCUUCAACAGGUACACUGAUCCAGAGGCUGUCAUUGGAUGUGAGGAUGGAACUGUUCGGGCAUUCGACAUGUAUAGUAGGACAUGUUCUCGAAUUAUUAAGUAUGCGCUGCACUUGCUGAAUGUUAUAUGUUUCACUCUUAUCUUCCAAUAAUGAAAUUUCUGUAGGACAUUGUGGAUCAUUAUUUUACUUGAUCUCUGCUAUCUCUUUCAUAUAGCGCGAAGAUGUUUCUUGCUCAUCACUCUCGAGCGAUACUUUCUGUUAAGCAAAGUAGUUAAAUACCCCACUGCCCGUUAAGAAAUUUUGAUUUGAACUUGGGCCUUGAUCUUCGUUACUAAAUUAUCUUGGUCAUUAAACUCAUUUUGCAGAAGUGUCUGUAAAGACCAUUAUCAUAUUGAGCACCCUUUGUCUUACACAAGUUUUUGAGAAUAAUGCUUGCAUGAAUCUUUUCUUGGACUUUGAACAGUGCCCCAAAUUAUGGAAAUUAAAUGUUCAGUUAUGUAAAUUAAUACAUGAAAUGGAUUUUGACUCAUAGAUGCACUUAAGUAAACACUUGGCUGUUUAGUGGAAAGAAGGUUGAUCAUAUUCUGGUGAUUUCUUAUACCCAUAUUGGAAGGACUCAGUGUAAUGCUGCUUAUUAAUAUCCUCAUUGCAGGAUGCAUGCUGGGCCUGUAACAUGCUUAUCUCUGAGUGAUGACCAUUUGAUUCUCAGUGGAAGCUCUCUUGGUAGUGUCUCAAUAUCCAGCCUCUCUUCCUAUCAGCGGGUGGCUACACUAAGGUCAACCAAUUCGGGAGGUUGUAUGAUUAAACACUUAUGAACAUCACUGCAUUUAAUGCCACUCUAGUUUCUUUUAGGUAUUUUGCAUCUGAAACAUGAAUCUAAUUUCUUCUUAUUCUGACAGGCAUAAGGACCCUGUGUUGAAGUGGGAGAACUGGUCUCAGCCUCAGGCGUUUGAAGCUGCAAAUAAAAGUUUCCCUCAUCUUCAGGAGCUUGUGACGUGGAAUUGUCCGAAGUUGGUAGAGGCUUUACCCAACUCCCUUACUUCCCUUGUAAAGCUUUCCAUUUGUGAAUGUCCACAGCUUGCAGCCUCUUUUCUGAGUCUCCCAUCUCUUUGUGAAUUGAAUUUAGAACAAUGUAAUGAGCAGUUUCUUGCAAGGUUCAUAAACCUCACUGCUCUCGCUAGGUUGAAAAUUGAGAACAUUUCAAAUCUUUCUUACUUACCCAAAGACUUCACAUGCUUGGUCUCACUUGAACGUCUUGAAGUUGAAGAUUGCGGUCAACUGACAUCCCUGUUGCAAGAGGGUGCCAGAUUAGAAAACCUUUCUUGUUUGAAGCGUUUAGCAAUCAUGAAGUGUCCUCAACUGUCGUGGUUGAUAGAUGACGAAGAUCAGCUACCCUCCAGCCUAGAGUAUCUAGAAAUAGAAGAUUGCACCGAACUGGAGAAGUUUCCAAAUGGGCUAGAAAAGCUUUGAUCAUUAAAAGAUUUGAGUGUUAAAUGGUGCCCCAAACUGAGGUCUUUCUCAAAUAGGGAUUUGCCUUCUAUGCUAAAAAACCUGGCAAUCUUGGGAUGUGAAUCUUUGGAGUCUUUUCCUAAGGGACUGGUGCAUUAUGAUAACAGCAGAAUCACUACAUGUCAUCAUGAAGACUUGGAGAUUCUUGGAUGUCCAUCCCUCUGUUUGUUUCCACCAGGUGAGUUACCAGCUGCCCUUACGCAACUUGAGAUUUGGGAUUGCAAACUGUUGGAGUGUAUUCCAGAGAGAUUGCUUCAGAACAGUAGGUCACUUGAAUUCAUUCGUAUUGGAAACUGCAAAAAACUGAAAGCCUUUCCUCAGUGUAUGUACAGCUUUGAAGAUCUAACUGAGUUGCAUGUAAAUCAAUGCCCUUCCUUGCAGUCUUUUCCAGAAAGUGGAUUGCCCAUCCGUACCCUCAGAACAGUCUUAAUCUCCAAUUGUGUGAAUCUCAAGUCCUUACCCAAUAAGAUGCAUGACCUCACAUCUCUGCAAUAUCUCACAAUAUUUGGUUGUCCAAGUGUAAAAUAUUUUCCAGAAGGUGGUUUUCCACCAAACGUGUUAUCACUUUCUAUUUGGGGUUGCAAGCAACUCAAGCAACCCUUUGCAGAGUGGUGCUUAAACAAGCUUACAUCUCUUGAAGACUUAAAUGUUGGUGAUUUUGAUUUAGAUAUGACUCCCUUCCCAGAAGACUCUACAAUUCCAUGAACUCUCGUCCACCUUCGAGUCCAGAGUCUACCUAAUCUGAGAUUUCUAUCCAAGGGGCUCCACAACCUCAUUUUUCUUGAAGUAUUAGAUGUUUGGGAUUGCCCUAAGCUCCAGUUCUUGCCAAAGGAUGGCCUGCCUAUCAUGCUUGGUGUACUUCAUAUCAGAAAUUGCCCUCUUUUAGAAAAUCAAUGCUUAGAUGAGAAAGGUGCAUUUUGGCCAAUUAUUUCUCACCUUCCUCUUGUGAGGAUAGAUUAUGUUGAUAUCUGAUGAACAAACUUAAGCAGAUUGGAUUCUCAGAUGGACGGCAAAAACAGAAGUGCCAAUACCUCCUACUGUUCAACCAGGUAAAACCCUUUGCUGCUUGAACAACUCCUCUGGCCCUCAACUUAGCACAUAUUUACUGAUAAUAUUUCAGCUGUACAUUUUGUGUAAAAGAAGAUUUAAAAACAAUUUAUACUACCUCCCUAACUAUUGGUGCAUGUGAAGGGAGGCAUGCUGCAUGACAUUGUUGCCCUUUAGAAGAAAGAGAAAGAUGCAAGGUUUACUUAAUGAACAUGCUCAUGAGAAGAUUCUCACACUAAUUUUCUUAGCUUUUAAUUUUGAAAUUAGUUAGAUGUAUCUGUUAAUUAGCUCACCUUCUCCUCCCUUUCCCCCAUUCCAAAUUACAUUAUGCCUCUAGCUUUAUCACACCCUAACCUGCUUGUUAUGUUGUUGUCAUUGCUCAGUUUACCAUCAAGUGAAUAAUAAUUAGUGUUGUUAUCCCUUAUAAGCUAUAGAAAAUAUCGAGAGCAUGAUCUCUCUGUUUGGUUGCAGAUUGCUGGUUUGAGCAUCUUUGCUCCUAAAGUAAUGGCUGACUGCUGUACUCAGAGGAUCAUAUGCUAAGUAGUGUAAUUCUUCUAAUGUAAUGAUACUCAGAAGAAAAACAUUAAUGUUACCUCAUAAUUCAGAUUCUUAGCAUGCCCUACAUUUCCAGGACUCUUAAUUGCAGCUACCUCAUAAUAUGUAAUGGAGGAAGUUGUAUUUUCUCUUGCAAUAGAAGUUGUACAAUCCUCUUUGUCAUUGCCACUCAGGUAUGCCCAUCCGCCAUUGGCUUCAUAAUUCUUUUUCUUUUUUAAAGAAAAAAGGGGGAAAGUUCAGGUGUCUGCAGUUAACCACUCGAAGCAAAAUUUAUUUGAAAAUAAAAUUUCUAUCUGAUACUACAAUGUGUAUAACUUGCCUUUCCGACGCAGAACUCUUGUGCCUCUUGACUUAGCAUUGUGAUUUAUUAAUAUGUUUUACUGCUGUGCAAUUUGGAAGAAAGAAGAUAAGAAGUAAAUUAUAUCACCAAUUCUGUGACCAUUGGUGCAUUUAACUCAGAUGGGCACACUGUUACACCAUUAUAUCCCUUGAGAAGAAAGGAAAAGAAAAAAAAUGUGCUCAAGGAGCAUGCUAGGAAGAAGAUUAUUGCGGGCGUAUCAAUUUCUGUCUCUUCCCACAAGCUAUUGCAAUAUCGUCCAAAACCAGUUUGUUAUGUGAUCUUCAUUGUUCAGUGUAAGUUCCCAACUGCCUCAUUGGCAAAUUGAAGCAUGAUCAUCUCCAACUUGGUUACUGUAUUGCAGUUCAACCAUCUUUGACUGUAACCUGUUCAGCAAACUUCCUCUCUCAAUUCUGCAAUAGAGGAAAUUCAGUUCUCAAUGUGCCCGCUAAUAAAGUAUACACAAGCUUGAAGGCAUACAUCGAGUUUCUUUCUUUUCUUUUUUUCAUUUAAGGGAAAAACCUGAGAACAAUAUAGGGAUAUCUAGAAAGAUAAAGGUUAAGGGUUGAAUUUAACAUUGAACAGAAAAUAGCAGCAUAUUGAGAGCAAAAUCCAUGUUUAGUUGUGUAUGGUAAUAAACAGGCCAUUGUGUUUUUGACAGAUGAGCAUCUGAACCAGAAAUAUUAAACUUUUUUUUUAUGGAAAUUUAUUCGACAUAAAGGCCAAAAUGUUGUGAUUUCUCCAGCUCAGGCCAAAAUCUUGUAAAUUUGAGGCUUUCGCAGACCAUUGAUCCCAAUGCAAGGAAACUAAGUUGCUGCUUGGAAUCAUCUUUUGUAGAACACUACUAUAGCUAAGUUGCAGUACAUAUAUACUCUUGAUUUUGCAUCAGAUAAAUCAAGUGAUCAGCACGGAGUUUAUACAAAUUCCAAUAGAAGUGCAACAAAAACAAAAAGUAGAAAGAACCCUAAGUACAUUCAGACCUGAUUCGGCAUAGCUUUUUCAGUCUAUUUCAAGGCAAGGGAUGUUGGAUAUCAUGGGCCAGUAUUCUCCUCUGUCUUUUUUGCACUUGUCUUGUAAAACAGGACAGCCAGAGAUGCAUAGUCGUCCAAGUGAGGCUGGCAGGCCUGUCUUUGGUAGGUAUCGAAGCUUGCGGCAGUCUUUAAUGUGUAACUGUUCGAGAGCUGUGAGGCUUUCGAGUCCCCUCGACAGAGAUUCCAAAUUCUGGAGGCUUUCCAUGCGAAGAUCGGUCAGAGUUGAAGGAAGCAUUACGCCCUCUUCAUCUGGAAAGGAAACCAUGUCUGCAGCAGGGCAUGUACCAGCAAUUUUGAUUUCCGUAAGACAGUUGAGUUUGUCCAGGCCCCACACUGACAUCGGCUUCUUCAGGUUUAUACAGUUACGGAGCUCGAGUGAAGUUAUGUAGGGUGGCAAACCACCAGGUGGAGUGGAUUCGAGAGCCAUGCAGACAGACAAACUCAGUUUCCGAAGGGAUGUGACGUUCUGCAUCUGCUUUGGCAGGGACCUGAGAUUCGAACAGUUGGAUAUGUGGAGAGUUUCAAGAUUGGGGAUUGACAACCCACUUUCCAGGAAGGAUUCCAAAGCAAGACAAUCUUCUAUACACAAAUAUUGAAGACGAGAUGCGCUAUUCCAAUUGUCAUCCGGAAGAAACUGUAGAUUGUUGCAGUUUACUAUACUCAACCUCUUGAGUGUCAAGGGCAACUUGCCAUUUGGGACGGAUUUAAGAGAAGGGCAUCUUACAAUCUCCAACUCUUCAAGAAGGCAAUAGGGGUUGUUGCAGUCUUUCAUCCUGAACGUAUCAGGCAAUGACUCCAGAGCCUCACAGUCAUGGAUUGUAAGGCACUCUAGUGUAUAGGGCAAGCCCAUCGCUGGAAAGCAAACAAAUUUUUGGCAGCUUUCAAUUCUGAGAUCUUUAAGAGAUGAGAAGCGGCAUAGCCCUUGCUUUUCUCCGACCAAGGAUACAAGCUCGGGACAAUUCUUUAGUACUAAACUCUUUAGCCGAGGCAGUUUUUCUGAUUCUGAUCCAUUCCACCAGAAACAGGUAAGUUCACUGCAACCUUCAAUCUCUAGAACUUCAAGUUUCACCAAGGCCUUUGUAAGCUCUUCAGUUAAGCAGGCAAGGCCGGAAAUUCUCUCCAAUUUCAAUUUGGUGAUGGAGCUGUGAUCAACCAUACCUUUAAGGAUUGCGUCACUACUGUCCGCAACAUUCAAUUCACCUAAGCAUGGGAAGCUUAAAGGUGAAUUUGUUAACACUGGGCACAUUUGAACAUCUAGUUUUACCAGAGAACAAAGGUUUCUAGGUAAGUUUCCAGUCAACUUAGGACAGUUGUGCAGUACAAGCUCACGAAGAAGAGGGAAAAGUUCAACAUUACCAACAGAUGAAAUCCAUUUCUUCCAUUCUUUCAUGUUCUCGAACCUCAAGAACUCCAAAGAUGGAAAAGCCUUAACAAAAGGAAAACCCUUCCCGUAAAAUUCAGGGCCCAAACUUGUCACCGCAUGCAUGCCUUUUAUAUUCAACUUUCUGAGCAAAGGUAGUCGCCCGAGUGAUGGCAAUGAUGUGCAAUUUAUACAAUCAGAGAGGUCUAGAUGUUCUAUUUUAGCAAAAGAAGGAUUCCCAACCCAAUAAGGGAACUCUCCAGCUCCAUAAUUUGAAAUAGAAAGCCGCUGUAGAUCUUUUGGAGGGCACAGUGACUCAAGGACCUGCAAUUGGUUGGGUCCGUUUCUAGAGAGAUUUAAAUCAUUGCUCCAUUCCAGGGCUAACUCCUUCAAAUCAAGCUUUUGCUUUAGAUUGGCAACCCUUGCAUCUUGAAUAUCCACCACGUUCUGCAGCCUUAGAAUGGAGAGCUGACCUUGAAGAGACAAAUUCUUUAAGUCUCUUAAUGUCAGCCCACCAGCUUUCCCGAUGAUAAAUUUGGGCAGUACCCGGAGACUAUUCAAAUUCCCUAGUCCUGAUGGCAUCUCUUGUAGCUUGGGAGUAUCACUGAUGUCAAGACGACGCAAUUUAAUCAAUCUACUGGUUCCAACAGGCAAAGCAGUAAGUUCUCUGCAGUGUUUUAGUAUUAAUAUUUGUAAGUGGUGAAGAUUACCAACUGACUCAGGGAGCAAUCUUAUUGCACUUCUAGACAAAUUAAGGUACCGCAGAUGCUUCAGAUAACCGAUCGAAUUCGAUAGGUCUCCAAUGAAAUAGCCACUCAAGGAUAACACUCUUAAGCGUUUUAGUUUUGGCAGCAAUUGGUGUAAUACCUUACUACUUAGAUAGCAAUAGUCUCUCUGAUGUAAUAUAGGCAAUGCUAGGAAUGACCUUACAUCCUUUCUUUUGCUAAAGAUUUCAAACCUCUGUGAGACGUUAUAUUGAUGACGAAUGAAUGAGACAUGGCGAGCCUUUUCAAAAGAAUGUUGGCCAUCAUCAAUCUGCACUUCAUGCUCCAUGUUAAAACACAAGUCCCCGGCAACAGAUUGGGCAAGAUCAAUAAUGAGGUCAUGCAUUACGAACAGCGAUUUGUUAUUAUUCGACUGUUGAAAAAAUGACCUUGAUAGCAGAUCAGAAAAGUACUCGCGGCCUAUGUCUUCCGGUUGCUUAUCCCCUUUCUGUUGCACCAAACCUGCUGCUAUCCAUAAAAGAACCAAUUCAUCUCUAUCGAAUUCGUGGCCCUUUGGAAACAGAGAGCAAUAAGCAAAACAUGGCUUCAAAUGAGAAGGGAGGUGAUGGUAACUCAAUCUUAAAUCAGAAAAAAUGCCUCCUUUCUCUUCUGUUAAAUCCCACAUCUUGCUCCUGGAUACAGCUUCCCACUCUUCGUAGGUCACCUUGUUGCGCAGGAGGCCUGCCAAGGUUUUUACUGCCAAAGGCAAUCCCUUGCAUUUCUUCACUAUUUCUUUGCCAAUAUCGUUCAGAUGUGGAUGCCCGUCAAAGUUUUCUCUUCCCAGAGAAUGGUGGGCUAAAACAGACAAACAAUCAUCAUAUGCCAACUCUUUUAACUGAUAAGCAGGCAGGGUACCUGUCAUUUUAGCAACGUUUUGAUUGCGAGUCGUGAUGAUGAUUUUGCUUCCCGACUUGCCAACUUCCAAAGGGAGGAUAAGGCUAGUCCAAUCAACGUAGUUAUCAUGCCAAAAAUCAUCCAGGACAAAUAAAAUUUUCUUCACAGAUAGCUCCUCUUUCAGCUUGAUAUGAAGCAAGUUCAGGUCGUUGGUAUCAGGAACUCCACCAUUAACAGACUGUAAAAUGGCUUUCAUGACCUUUAUGACAUCGAAAUCUUCUGAAACAUAGAUCCAUGCUUUUGAGUCGAAAAACCCUGCGACUUUUUCGUCAUUGUAAACCAGCUGAGCAAGAGUUGUCUUGCCAAUUCCUCCCAUUCCAACAAUGGGAAUCACUGGCACUUCAGCAUCACUUGUUGUCUCCACCAGCAGCCGCUCAACUAUGGCUUCCUUAUCCUUUUCUCUGCCGUAAACAUUGACUUCAUUGACUAAACACGUUGUGGGCAAUCUUUGAUCCCUUGCCUUGUAGGCCCUUCCCUCAACAUUCUCUCUUAAUUCGAGGUCGCUCUUUUGUGUCGCAAUCUCCUGCAGUCUAGCAUCGAUACCCUUUAUCUUUGACCUCAUCUUGACACUAAACGUGCCAGCACCCCAUUUAAAACAACUUAAACUAGCAAGGUUGUGCCAGCAUCUUACCGUUCUAACGCUGGUACGAGGUUGUGCUGUCAACUUGUGUUGCAAAGCUUCGUAGGCAAACUCGUCUAACACGUCCUCAACGUCGUAAGCCGAGUCUGUUAGCUCGGUCAACCAGAGUUUAACUGUCCUAUCUGUCACUGGCUUCUCUCCUGCAUCAGUGAGAACUGCGUUGAUACUCAGCAGCGUCUUCUCCAACUUUCUGAGGUCAACAUCAAGUUUCUCCUUCUUGGCAAAAUAUAUCAAGUCAGAAGAUUUAAACCUGCCAAGCAGCGCCACAAACAUGGAAGUGAAAAAACCUUCUCCGAUUGCAGCUAAUGCUUCCAUCAGGGAUCAUAAAUAUUUUGCAGAAACAAGUUAAAGGGGUUUAAGAUUAUAGUUAAUAGAAAUGAAACGAAGAGAGAGAAUCCUCAGAAACAGAACAAGACCAGAGAUUAGGAUCAAAGUCAAGCACUAAGGUUUCUGUGCUAGUUCUUCUCUUUGCAUUUACUGAAACCAAAUUCUCUUCCUUCCUGAAUCCUGGAAACUUUGCCUGUCAGGGAUUUGGGAGGUCCCACAGGGAAAUUGGCAGGGGUAUUUCCUGAUUGACUAAGUUUAAGGUCUUUAUUGAUUGAGGUUAACAUCAGUACACUUCUCCCUGACCCCAAGCUUACACUAGUCGGCUGUACUAAAAAACAAAGAGGCAAAGGCCGACCAAAACAAAAGCAGAACUUCCCCCAUUGGACUAAUUUUUUUCCAUCUCUUCUUUUCUUCUGGUUUGUGGAAGAAGAGCGCUACUGGACUUGAGCUGGCGCAAAUUUUCCACGGCUGUUUCCUGGUAAAAAAUUACGUAGAGCAAAGAAAUUAUAGGGGAAAAAUCAAAGAAGCCACAUUCCAUCUUCUUAUACAAGGCAAAUACUAUAUGUUACAGCAGAGAGAAAAAGGAACUGAUACUAGAGAAAUUUUGGGUCAAUCUGGAGUCUGGAAAAGGAAAACCUUUUACUCUCCAGUCUUCCACCUGUUAAAAACUUUGUUUUCCUGAUCACCAUGCAAGUUUUAUUGGCACACUUUUUUUUUUUUUAAACCAACUUGCAUUCCUUUCUUUCCUGGAACAUUGAAUCAAGCUAAGAAUUGAAGUCUGUAGAGUCAAAUUGUUUCAAGAUUUGAAUGUUUGUUAGUAGAGUACUAAGUAUCUUAAUUGCAAGAAAACACGAAAGAAAAGCAAAAAACGAGCAAUACAACCUUGAAGUUGAGUGGUUGGUAAUUAUACUAAUCACAAAGAUGUUCUGCCUUUCUUUGGCCAUUAAUCAGAAUCCAUAACGAAAUUCCAUUGGAAGUUUUGCCUGGUCAAAAUUGGAGGCCUAGCCUUAGCAACGGGGACCAUGGGGUAAAUAUCAAAUUCAGUCAUUACCAGGAAAUGACAUAGUUUUUAAAAAUGGUAGUGCUCAAUGAUGCAUUAGUUUCUUUUCGAAUAAAAAUAAAAAUAUCCUCUUGCUGCUGUGUUUUGUCUUAAAUAUAUAUUUUUAUUAUAUUACAAGAAUCAAGCGUAGAAACGAGAAGAAGUUAAUGUUGAUGUAUUUUCAAAAUUAAAAGUUAUGUCAUAUUAUAAAAACCUAUCUUAACUUAAAAGUUAUGUCACGUAAAGUUAUAUAGUGUGACUAUUGGAUUGUAGGUAGAUUUUCAUGUGAAUGGUUAUAUCUUUUGGUAAAAUGACAUUCAAAAAUUAUGAAACAAAUUAAAAAAACACCAUAACUCAAAAGUUUAAAUAUGAAAAGUUAUUUUUUCAAAUUAUAACUCAAAAAUUAUAUUUUAUGAAAUGAAUAGUUGUAAUGAUUAUUGAAACAAUACUUUUAUCCAAAAGCUGUGUCCGGUAAAAUGUAAAAAUGUCUUUUAGACAAAAUAGUAUUUUAAUGAAAGGAUUGUGUCCUUAAAUAAGAGAUACUUGCAAAUCUAUAUAAAAAGCUUGUUACCAACCAUUUUAACACAUUAAAUAAAAAAUAAUACAAAAGUAAAAAAAUUAAAAGUAAGAAAAGUGUUGUGUUCUAUUCAAGUAAACAUUUGAGUUCCUAUCAAUUACAAAAGUAUCCAAAUUCAUAUAUAAUCUACUUGCUGUAAAAAGUAGACUUUAAGAUCGAACAAUUUUGCAAACCUUCGGUAUAUCUAGCAAUCUACUCUCUUGCGGUCAAUUCUUGUAAAAUGUAAGACGAAGUUAAACAUUGACUUCAUUGUAUCCCUACGCUCAUUUGCAUUAUUUCCCUUUACAGAUCGAGUGGUGAGGGUGAAAUAAGUGUUAAAAUAGCAUCUAUUGAAAGGCUCACCUUAAAGUUAAUUUUUUCAAUUUUUUAAAUUUCAUCUAAAUCUGAUUUGCACCAACAAUUAAUUUAAUCAUUACAAUAAUUAAUUUGAUUAUUACAGUAUGUUGCUUGAUACCAUAAGUAAUUGUUUCAAGUCAUGGGGUAUAUUCACAAUGUAAAUGAGGAACCAUUUUUAACUAAACCUAUGAAGCUAUACUUAUUUGACAAGAUCUAGAAAUUAAUUUUAUUAACAAGAUAAAUAGAAUGAAUACAUGAUCUUUCCUAGAAGCUUGCAUUCCUCGUUUUUGGUGAGGCAUAAGGUAAGAAGCCUUGUUUCUUCUCUGGUGUGUGUGUAUAUAUAUCGGUGACUGCCUGUUUCAACCAAGAACCCUCCCUCCUUCCCUCUCUCUUUCUCUCUACUCAAAAGAAUUAUAGUGUAGGUGUUCCUUUGCAGGCACUGCUUAGUUCCCC